rnacentral:rRNA from 1 species
UACGUAGGGCGCGAGCGUUGUCCGGAAUUAUUGGGCGUAAAGAGCUCGUAGGCGGCUUGUCACGUCGGGUGUGAAAGCCCGGGGCUUAACCCCGGGUCUGCAUUCGAUACGGGCUAGCUAGAGUGUGGUAGGGGAGAUCGGAAUUCCUGGUGUAGCGGUGAAAUGCGCAGAUAUCAGGAGGAACACCGGUGGCGAAGGCGGAUCUCUGGGCCAUUACUGACGCUGAGGAGCGAAAGCGUGGGGAGCGAACAGG